rnacentral:rRNA from 17 species
UUUCCGUAGGUGAACCUGCGGAAGGAUCAUUC